GUUUCCUCCUGAGUCAGGCAGAGGAGAGGAAGCAGGCAGAGAGAAAGCAGGAAAAGGAUUGUUUUGAGGAAAUGGACCUGGAUUCCUGUGAGGCAGAGAGGCCUCCGUUGGACACCAGAGAGAGGCCGCCGGGUGACAGAAUGAUGCCGGCAAGACCUCCUGAUCCGU